AUCCUCUUUCGGUAUGUUGAAAAUUGAAAUGGCCUAAUCUAUGAAUUUCCGGAGUUGUUCUAAUUCUCCGGCGGCGGUUCGUGACGGUGCUUAUCUUUUUCUCUCCGGAGACCGUUACAGACAUUCAUCACUACAGAACUCUGAAAUCUGCUUUUGUACAAAUUAAUAUUUUAUACAUAUUAGAUUAAUAGAUGUGAAAUUGUUUGUGUUGGCGUUCAGAUGAGACCUAAAAUUAGAGAAAUCUUAUCACAAAUUUAAUGAAAUUCAUAUGAAUUUAAGAGGUGUAUAACCUCAUCAAAUCGGACCACAUUUUAGAAAUAGGUUUGUGAAAUCCUCCAUUAGCAUUCAGUUCUAUCUUCGCCGUCUCGUUUUGAUGAGCAUAAACAGCGUUAAGAGGCCCGUUUGGUUUGUUGCUUUUCCCUUCUGGUGUUUGUUUAUUUAAUUUUAAUACAUUGUUUUUGUGUUUUUUCAGGGAUAUCAUUGGGGAUUCAUUCUCUCACCAGCCAUGGAUGUGGAUCCAUUCAAUCCUGAGUUUUCAAUUCUAUACUUUUAGCUUUUUAGUUUUUAAAUUUUAAUUUUCUUAAAAUCUCUACUUUUAUAUUAAAUGAUUCAAUGAAUAAUUUAUUGAAAAAAAACAAACUAAUUUAUCUUAAUUUUACCAAGCUUUUGAAAAACUUAGAAAAUAUUCGUAUAAAGCUUAAAAAACAAAUGUUUAUAUUUAUUACUGAAAAUAUUAUUAUUUUCAUUGUUUUAUUAUUUAAAAGGUAAUUAAAUUUGAGUGGUUUUUUUUUUAUAUAUAUAUAUAGGAAAAAGACCCAACUCUGUGCUUCUCUCUUUUUCGAUGAGGAAAAAAGGUGCACACAACCCAAGAGGUCCAAAGGAGAUAUGAUAAUAGAAACUUCAAACUGAAGGGUUAACACAAAUAUUCAUCUUCCCCACAAAGUUAAUACCUUACUAAGGAUAUGAUCAUAUCUCUCAUGGGAUAUUAUUCAAAUUGAAAGGACUCAAUCAUACUAAAGAAGGAGGUGGGGGCGUACCUCCUCGUCAACUACAAUCAUCUUUAUUUGUAUUAUUGAUAAGUUUUUGCCUUACAAGUGUGUGGAUAAGGAACAACUCAGAAUGUGGGACUUUAACACAAUGUCACAUCAAAAUACGAACAAUAAUGAAACAUAAAUUAUUAGAAAUUCCUAAUUCACAUUACAAUUUUAAUCUAAUUAUAAAAAUCAUUCUGAGGCUGCGAAAACAAAAUCUCUCAUUUUGGAACUUUGAAUUCAUGUUUCUACCAACUAAAAUUAAAUUAAACUCAAAACAAAUUAUUAUUUACACUUAAAACACUAUGAUAACCUAAACCAAGUUAUUAUUGUUUGUUUUCCUUUGGACAAGCAAGAUUUGAAAUUGUUUACAAAUACAAAUAUUUGUUGAGUUUUCGUAUUUGUUUGAGUUAUAUUUCUUUUCAAGUUUCUGUAUGUCAGAUGAGGCAGUUCAAUUUGAUAAAUAUUAUCCGUAGUUCAAUUUGACAAAUAUUAUCCAUUAUUCUCGGGGGUACAUUUGAUAAACCUCGAUUUUGAUGAAUGAGCACUAAAAGAUUUUUAUUAGGAUACAUUUUCUUUAGGAAAUUGAAGUGCAAAUUUGAUUUGAGAAAACUCAAUUUGCUUGAAGAUUGAUUGUCUCAAUGCUUAGAUAAAUCACUCUUGUUUUUGUUUUUUCAAUUUUUUUGAAUUCUUGCUUAGAUAUUCUCCACAUUUUCUUUUAUGUUUUCCUUUUUCUAUCAAAAACUUUGAUCAAAAAGUAAAGAGUAAAUUUUAAAUAAAUUUUGGUUAAACAUUAAGCAAGUUUCAUUUAGUAGCUGAUAAUAUAUAAUAAUAACCAAUGUAAAAUACAUCAUAGUAUAUUUGUAACUAACUAUUAAACGUGUCCAAAUUUUCUUAGAACUUUUCAAACUAACAUAAAUGGCAAAUUUUUGAAGUUCCUCAAAAGAAAAAUAGUAAAAAGUUCUUAAAAUCUUAAAAAUAGCAAAACAAUUUGUAAAAAACAAAAAUACUACUUAGUCAAACUUAAACAAAUUUUGAAUUGAGAAUUUCAAUAUCUCAUUCAACAAAGUGAGAAAAUUAUUUUAAAAGUAUCAAACACUAAAGAAUUAAAGAUGGAAAUGACACAAUUAUCAAUACAUAAUAAAAUCACAUAUCAACAUCUACAAAGAUAAAGUUGUUAUUUAUGAGUAAAUGGGUAAAUUGAAUAUCAUAUAUGUACUAGUAAAUAAAAAAAAUAAAUAAUGAAUCAAUUUACUAAAAAUUAGUUCAUUCAAACACAAAAUCCAACUAACUUUUAAAAAAACGGUUAUCAACAAAUGGCAAAGUCAAAGCCCCAAUUUUAGUAUCCAAUUUUGCUAAAUCUCUCGUUUUGCAAAUUUUCUCCUUCCAUUACCUUUUUCUUGAUGAUAUUUGGAAGAACCUCGAGAUCGAUCUAAAGCAUAGUAUGUUUUCUUCGACGUUUUUGGUUUCAAAAUCUUCUAAGCCAAUUUGUAGAGUUAUACCUUCUCAACACCUUACUGUUCGUUUUCUCGACAAUCAACUUGGUGGCUCUUUAGGAUCGCCAUCAACGUCCCCAUUGUUUUCUUCUUCUUCUUCUUCGUCAAUUACAUCUCAACAAACUGGCUGCGGAGGAGGCGAGAAUAGAAGAAGCUUUGUAUUUGACUUCUUGAUCAAAUUGAUUUCUUCAGGGAUAUUGAUUGGCGGAGUGGGAUCACUUCUCAGCUCGAAUUCUUCCGCGUCCAAUUCGCAUUUAUCGUUUGCUGACUUCCCUAAAGAAACAACAUGGACAACAGUGAAAGAAGAUCAAUUCCAAUACCCAUCAUCACCAAAUCACCAAAAUAUAAAUCCAAAGAAGAAAUCCAAAUUUCUAUUUGGAGGUAAGAAUGUUCCCUUUUUCCCAUUGAUCUAAGUUAAAUGUGUUUAGGCUAAAGUUUACCAUUUCAUUCAUACUUUACACUGGACUCCAGAUGAUUAUAGGAGAAGGGUGUUUUUCAACUAUGAAAAACGUAUAAGAAUCCAAAGUCCUCCUGAGAAGGUGUUUGAAUAUUUUGCGUCUAUCCACACACCUGAAGGGGAAAUAUAUAUGAGACCAUCAGAUCUGAUGAGGGCCAUUGUCCCUGUGUUUCCUCCAUCUGAGUCCAAUCGUGUUAGAGAAGGCUUUUUAAGAGGAGAAAGAAGAAUGUCUGGAGAACUAUGUUGUGCUCCUUCUACCUUUUUCAUGCUCUUCGACACCAACAAUGAUGGCCUCAUCUCUUUUGCAGAGUAAGAAUUCUUGGACCUUUCUUCCAACUUCAUGAUCAUUUACACAACCGGACAUUCACAUAUAGUUGAACUUCAUUCAAACUUAAAUAAAUACCUAAUGCUUUUAUUAUAAUUUUUAGUUCAUGAUUUAUUUCCGGUGAGCUAUCUAAUAAAUUGUUGAAUUUUAAUAAGGUUAAAGUAUUCAACUUUAAGUUUAUAGUGCCCAAACCUAUGGGAUCAAAACCAAAAGAUCAUGCAUUGUGCUCUCAUCUCUUCUGUUUGCAGGUACAUAUUUUUUGUUACACUUCUCAGCAUACCAGAAUCCAGCUUUUCAGUGGCAUUCAAAAUGUUUGACAUUGAUAACAAUGGGUUAGAUAAUUAAUUGCUUCUUCAAAUUCGUCACUUUCCACAUUUGUUUCCUCUACUAUUCACAAUCCUCUUGGGUAAUGAAUGUUAUCUGUGUUAU
rnacentral:lncRNA from 1 species